ensembl:misc_RNA Y_RNA Y RNA
GGCUGGUCCGAGUAGAAUGAUGUUUACAACGAAUUGAUCACAACCAGUUACAGAUGUUUCUGUUCCUUCUCCACUCCCACUGCUUCACCUGACUAGCCUUUA